rnacentral:rRNA from 1 species
GAUGAACGCUAGCGGCAGGCCUAAUACAUGCAAGCCGAACGGUAAGAUUUGUAGCAAUACGAGUCCUAGAGUGGCGUAAGGGUGCGUAACACGUAUGCAAUCUGCCCGCAACUGGAGGAUAGCUCGGGGAAACCCGGAUUAACCCUCCAUAAGAUCACACAAUGGCAUCAAAGAGUGAUUAAAUCUCCGGAGGUUGCGGAUGAGCAUGCGGUUGAUUAGCUAGUUGGUAGUGUAACGGACUACCAAGGCAAUGAUCAAUA